rnacentral:rRNA from 1 species
UUAUUAUCGAGGGUGUGACGGAGAAGGAUAGUGUGUGCUAGCGAUUGGAAAUGCUAGUCUAAGCGUUUAGGCAGUUACGGUAGGCAAAUCCGCUGUAACGUUAAUGCUGAGGCGUGAUGGGGAAGGCCAUUGAGGCUGAAGUACAUGAUUCCAUGCUUCCAAGAAAAGCAUCUAGAGAGAGAAGUAGUGCCCGUACCGCAAACCGACACAGGUAGAUGAGGAGAGAAUCCUAAGGCCGGCGGAAGAAUUGCAGUUAAGGAACUAGGCAAAUUGACCCCGUAAGUUAGCGAGAAAGGGUGCCUGCGAGAGCAGGCCGCAAAGAAUAGGCCCAAGCAACUGUUUAGCAAAAACACAGGUCUCUGCUAAAGCGCAAGCUGAUGUAUAGGGGCUGACGCCUGCCCGGUGCUGGAAGGUUAAGGGGAACACUUAGCGCAAGCGAAGGUGUGAACUUAAGCCCCAGUAAACGGCGGCCGUAACAAUAACGGUCCUAAGGUAGCGAAAUUCCUUGUCAGGUAAGUUCUGACCCGCACGAAUGGCGUAAUGACUUGGGCACUGUCUCAACUGCAAAUCCGGCGAAGUUGUAGUGCGAGUGAAGAUGCUCGCUACCCGCGAUUGGACGGAAAGACCCCGUAGAGCUUUACUGUAGCUUAGCAUUGAAUUCCGGUAUUGUCUGUACAGGAUAGGUGGGAGACUGGGAAACUAGGGCGUCAGCCUUAGUGGAGUCGUCCUUGGGAUACCACCCUGACAGUACUGGGGUUCUAACAGGACGCCAUGAAUCUGGUGACUGGACAUUGUUAGGUGGGCAGUUUGACUGGGGCGGUCGCCUCCUAAAAAGUAACGGAGGCGCCCAAAGGUUCCCUCAGAACGGUCGGAAAUCGUUCGUAGAGUGCAAAGGCAGAAGGGAGCCUGACUGCGAGACCUACAAGUCGAGCAGGGACGAAAGUCGGGCUUAGUGAUCCGGUGGUACCUCGUGGGAGGGCCAUCGCUCAACGGAUAAAAGCUACCUCGGGGAUAACAGGCUGAUCUCCCCCAAGAGUCCACAUCGACGGGGAGGUUUGGCACCUCGAUGUCGGCUCGUCGCAUCCUGGGGCUGUAGUAGGUCCCAAGGGUUGGGCUGUUCGCCCAUUAAAGCGGCACGCGAGCUGGGUUCAGAACGUCGUGAGACAGUUCGGUCCCUAUCCGUCGCGGGCGUAGGAAAUUUGAGAGGAGCUGUCCUUAGUACGAGAGGACCGGGAUGGACUGACCUCUGGUGCACCAGUUGUUCUGCCAAGAGCAUGGCUGGGUAGCUAAGUCGGGAAGGGAUAAACGCUGAAAGCAUCUAAGCGUGAAGCCUCCCUCAAGAUGAGAUUUCCCAUAGCAUAAGCUAGUAAGACCCCUUGAAGAACACGAGGUUGAUAGGUCAGAGGUGUAAGUGUGGUAACAUAUUUAGCUGACUGAUACUAAUAGGUCGAGGGCUUGACCU